GAUGAACGCUGACAGAAUGCUUAACACAUGCAAGUCUUUGGCGAAGCUGUGCUUGCACAGCCUAGCCAAGGCGGACGGGUGAGUAACGCGUAAGGAACUUGCCCUGCAGUCAGGGAUAACAGACGGAAACGACUGAUAAGACCUGGUAAAGUCAGGCGGACUCAUGUCCAGCCUGAUGAAAAGAGAUGCUGCAGGAGAGCCUUGCGUCCUAUUAGCUUGUUGGUGGGGUAACGGCCCACCAAGGCGAUGAUAGGUAGCCGGCCUGAGAGGGUGGACGGCCACAAGGGGACUGAGAUACGGCCCUUACUCCUACGGGAGGCAGCAGUGGGGAAUAUUGGACAAUGGGGGCAACCCUGAUCCAGCAAUUCUGUGUGCACGAUGAAGGUUUUCGGAUUGUAAAGUGCUUUCAGCAGGGAAGAAAAAAUGACGGUACCUGCAGAAGAAGCGACGGCUAAAUACGUA
rnacentral:rRNA from 1 species